UGUGAAAAUUAACUACAAAGACUAAAACUGUUUUUGUACUAGGCUACAAACAUGUUUAUUUCUGCUGUGAAGUUGUAUUUUAAUAUGGGGGCUUAUGGGGAUUGACUUGUUUUGAAGUGAAACUGCAGUUUUUAGCACUUCCAUAUUGGCUUCCCUUCACAAUCACGGAGGUUGCAACUAGGUUGGAUUUCCAUGUUUCUUGAGUAGCCCAGAACAACAAACACUGGUGCUUUUCAUUUUUUUUAUGUGUUUUGCAACCACCAUAGUUUUCUUCUACAUGCUAGAAAGGAGAGGGUGAGGCAAGGGGUUGAAAUCAGCAACUGCACCACUAGAUGUUGCAAAAUCCUACAUAUAUUUCAUUAAAACCCUGCAGUGAAAUAGCUUCCAUGUGUUAAGUUACUGCUCUGAAUAGCAUGUAUGUAGCUAUUUUCAACAGACAUGUAGCAUUGUGGUAGUGUAAUUACUUCCAUUGAAGAGUGGCUUGUAGCUACACACACACACACACACACACACACACAGAGGAGGGGAGAUGAGCAUAAAGAAAUCAACAACAGACCUCUGUAAAGGUUCCCCUGUCAUGGCAGCAACACUCUUACAUCGCCAGCACAAGAUGUGACCAACACUCAGACACUAAUCAAUGCAAUACACUCUGGGCAUUGCUAUCGGAUGACCCGUGUGUGUGGCAGUGUGACAUACACACAAACACACACCCCCCACACACACACCUCCCCAGACAGCAGAUUACGCAUCAUAACACAGCUGAUUUGCCCCAUGGGUUGACACUCGCUGUCCAGUCCAAUCAUAUUACUCUUCCCCAAGUCGGCCCAGUGGUGUGUGUGUUUGUCUGCACCCAAGUGUUUACAUGCUCUGGGUUCAUCGAGAUAUUGCUGUUAUUCCUUAGCGCUUUCAGCAACGUAAUUUGUCACUACUUGUAAAGUGUUGAGCAAAUACAAAAAGCUGAAGGCAACAGGAUGGGGGAGAAAAAAGUGUGUCAUGGAUUUCGAACGGGGUAGUGCAGCAAUUUUGUUCUGAGAAAAAGGUCACACUGGGCAAUACUUGGAAAACUUUGAUGGAGCACUCUUACACACACCUUAAAUACAUCUGUGCUCAUAAAUAGUACUCUGCCUGAGGCUAUUUGAGCCAUUCUGAUGAUAUACUGUAGCUCCAUUUCUAGAGUUUUGCAUGCUGAACCCCCCUAAAAUGGGACUGGCCCCAUCCCAACAGAUUCCUCAUGACCUCUGGAGUACAGAAAGACUAAAUUCCCCUUAGUGGAAAAAAAAACAGCUUGUUCGCCUGUAAACUCCCCAUUAAAAAGAUCUGUGGGCCAAACCGCACUCCUCCACCGCUGUCAAAUGGCUGUUGUUUGCAAUGGCAGAGGCGCAGAAUGAAAGGGUCUGGGGGUUUAAGGCAGCUACUAGUUUGGAUGUCAUACGAGAAGGACAUUAAGACAAAAGACUGAGGGAAAACAGGCCAACUUGAAAGCUGAUGGGAAACACGCCCCGCAGUUAUGAUAAAAUUGUGAGUGUAAGGGACCCAUGCAUACAUGCAGGGAUCUAUGUGCAGAUGUAAGAUAUACACCAGAUGGAACCAGGCAAACACGUACACACUCACUCUGAGUCUGCUCUGUGCUAUUUUGGGAGAUGGGGAAGAAAAUGGUCUGACUUGGCAAGUGUACAUAUGUGCACUAGUGUAAGCAGUGGGUCCCUGUGCAUAUGGGGAAGUAUAGGGUCUGGCACAUGUUUAGUGUGGUGACCCACUUCUCCUUGCAUCUGGACCUCAUAACCCUCUCCAGCAGUAAUGGGAAAAAGAUCUAGACAGUGACAUCUCUAUCUGCCCCUAUCUGGACUGACUUUGAAACUUGGCUACAGCAGCUUGGAGUUUUAUCCAUAAUCAAGCAACAAGGCGAGUGUGUCAUGUGAAAUGAGCAACACACUACUCAACAUCCAGGACAGACACACAAACUACAGUAUGGACUGGUGCUGUUUUUAAAGCCGCUCUUGGUUUUUUUAAGUGGAUGGUUUACAUUUCAUAUGGAAUGAACCGGGUGCUCUUUCAAUUCAUCCCAGAAGAAAUUGCACCAUUGUUUGGUUUCGAGUGGAUUGAGGUUACAUGUUGCUGUUUAGUAAUUCAAACAAGUCAUUCAUUUUCAAAAUCAAAUUUUCCUAAAAGGCACACAAGAAUUUUCAGCAUCAAUAAUCCACCGGGAGAACAUUUUGGGGUAUGAUUCGUGCUCGGUAACACCAGAAUGUGGCACGGCAAAAGUUUCUACUCACAAAAUGGAUGUUUCUGGAAGCUCGGUGACGUAGUGGCUUCUUGCAGGUUGCACAGUGGCUACAUUUGGUUGUAGCUAGUUAUGUUUUUGGCAACAUGGAUACAAAAAGGAAAGUUCUGUUGGGAUUUAAUGACUUGAAUGUCCACAUUUAUGUCUUUUGACGUUUACUUUAAAAACAGAUGGUGUUUGCUCAGUUGCCAUGGAAUUAUAGAUAUUCAAACAUUCCAUUAUUCUGGCCCUUAAACGACUUUGUGGACUUUUCCAUGUUAGAUAAAAGGAGGCUUGACAGUUUAGUUUUAUCAACAGCUGUUUCCAAUAUCCAUUUUGUGUUAUUCGGGUUCUCAAAAUUGUGUCAUAGAUCAAGCACUAUCCAGAACGGUUUGCUAUUAGUCAGGGUUUGGAGAAGUUCUAAAAGAAAUUGUGGGUCAAACUUUAGCAAAGUUGAAUUUGGACAAAAUCAGUGAGUUGGAAUAAUUAGACAUUUUGGGAAAUACUUCUUUGCUUCCUUGCCAAGAAGAUCGAUACCACUCUCAUGUUUUUGCACUAAGUAUGGAGCUACAGCCAGGGGCUGAUUAACCUAUCUUAACAUAAACACCAGAAGAAGGGUGAACCCGGCUAGCCUCGCACUCAAGUUCAAAAAGAUGUCUUUCAUUGAGCAGAUUCUCAUUUAGCAGAGAGAGGCUAUAUGAAUUAGUGCAGCACAGCUGAUCCAAUAGUUUCAGAGUUCAGCAAAGUUGAAAUGUACGUUGCCACAGUUAGCGAACAACAGCAAUUCCAUUGAUAUAAUUUAAGUUUUCUUAGAAAUCCAGAUAUGACCAAUUUUUUCUUGCCAAAAGUUAGAUGAUCAAUACUUCUCUUAUGUCUAUGCAGAGUGGAGAUAAAAGCCAGGUGGUGAUUAUCUUAGCUUAAUCUUAAGCAUUAAGAUUGGAAACAGUGAGCCUGGCUCUGUCUAAAGCUGACAUACUUCUAAAACCUCACUAUCUCUUGUAAUGGCAAAGUGUGUUUUUACGGGGAGUUACAUGCUGUAACUAUUUCUAUUGCCAGGUGAAGUCACUUCCUUAAGUCUCUGCUGCUUGUCUGGCAAACUCAAUUUUUUUUAUCUCCCUAUAAAACCAGAUUUUGUGUCCAGAUUUCCUUCACUUGGAAAACAAUGAUUUUAGGUCUUGUUAUAGCAACAAAUAACAUUUUAUGUGGCAAUUGUGGGUGAUUUCUUUUUUAAAAAAUGCUAUUUUGAGACUUUCUUGUGUGACUGAAAACUGUGUAAAGGUGCCAACAGAGGAUUUUCUCCACCGAUGUUUAGUUUGAUUGCCUCUGAUCUCUUGCAAUCUUGGCGAACCACUUCUGUUAAUAUGUCCACUGCCAUAACACAGAGGUUAGUCCUUUCGUAGAUGAACUGCGAAGACUGACAGCUCCCAAUAAAUCAGGUAGGCUUUAGAGAAGAAAACCAAACUAACCCUUUAAAUGCCUGGACCAUCUUCAAUUUUCAAAUCUCUUUGUGAGUCGCUGACCUUACUAGGAUACACCGACCCAGCUGGAUUUUACUGUACCAUCUAAUAUACUUGCCUUUUUUUUUCUAGCUCCCCAGGGCCUAUAGAUGUUCACCUCAGGAUAAAGACGUUGUUAGUGUGACUGAGUCUGACUGAGGCUGAUGUAGGUCAGUGCGUCUGGUGCCUGUCUGGAGCUGCGUUGAGCAUCAGAGCUCCACGCCUGGUCCUUCGCCGACCCCUACAGCGGCUGCCCGAGUUGAGGACAUGCUCCCUGGGCUACGUGAGGACAGGACCAAGCCCGCAUGACCUGCCUGAAGGAGGAUGCGCCUGCAACAGGAGUAGGAGGAGGAGCAGGAGCAGGAAGAGGAGGAGGAGUGGUGGCGGCGCGGGGUGAUAUGGGGUGUCUGUCGAAAGCUUAGUCAGUGUAUGCUGCUUGCAUGUGGCUCUAAUACGUAGAUGUAUAUGGAGGCAGGGAGAGGCAGAGUGAAAAUGCAAGAGAUCGGAGGUGGAUAGGCGCUGCAGUUGUCUGCAUCUCCUCAGUGAUGUGCAGCACGAGUACAGAGAGGUCUUUUUGGGGGAAAAUUUCCAUGCAAUGUUGCCUCUUCCUAGACAUACACUCUCCACACUCUGCCUGCCUCUUUCGCCGCUCGCUACCUAACUUCUUCAUGAUGCUUUUAUGUCUCUUUCCCAGAUCCGAUUCUUCCGCGUCGGCAGCCAUCAACGUUUCUGCAAAAACCACAGCGACCCACAGCAAACUCCAAACUCUGACGCCACUUCUCUCCCGCAAAAAGAAUCGAAAGAAACAAAACUGUCUCUUCUGUCUUCUUUUGCAGUACAUCCAUCGCAACGCUGCUCCAUACAGAUCCGAGCCCUCCAACGAAAAAUGCUGCACAUCGAAAGUAUCCGUCCUCCACUCGUCGUAUGUCAAAUGCCCUUUGAUGGAAGCCAACGAGCGCAAGGACGAGUGAAUCUUGCAAAAGAGCAGAAAGCUCUGUUGACGACUUCUCCAUCUCUUGAUUCUGCUCUCCUUUCCUUCCCUUCCUUUCCUUUCCUUUCCCCCUCCUUCUCCUCUGCUCUCAUUCUCCGCUCCUUCGCACUCCUCUGGCUUUUAGACAAUGCCCCCAAAAAAAAACGAUCGUUGUAUCAGAGUGUCUGAGUGUAGUAGAGUGCAGCUGUGCGAGUGGCUGAGUGUGUGUGAGCGAGUCUGUGUACGUUUGUGAGCGAGUUUGGUGUGUGUGUGU